rnacentral:rRNA from 1 species
AAUCAACGCUGGCGGCGUGCCUCAGACAUGCAAGUCGAACGAUUAAGCUCUCUUCGGAGAGUGCAUAAAGUGGCGCACGGGUGAGUAACACGUAAGUAAUCUACCUUCGAGUGGGGAAUAACGUCCGGAACGGACGCUAAUACCGCAUAACGCAGCGGCAUCGGCAAGAUGACAGUUGUUAAAGAUUUAUCGCUUGAAGAGGAGCUUGCGGCAGAUUAGCUUGUUGGUAAGGUAACGGCUUACCAAGGCUACGAUCUGUAACCGGUCUAAGAGGACGGUC